rnacentral:rRNA from 1 species
AUUGAACGCUGGCGGCAUGCCUUACUCAUGCAAGUCGAACGGUAACAGGUCUUCGGAUGCUGACGAGUGGCGAACGGGUGAGUAAUACAUCGGAACGUGCCCGAGAGUGGGGGAUAACGAGGCGAAAGCUUUGCUAAUACCGCAUACGAUCUCAGGAUGAAAGCAGGGGACCGCAAGGCCUUGCGCUCACGGAGCGGCCGAUGGCAGAUUAGGUAGUUGGUGGGAUAAAAGCUUACCAAGCCGACGGUCUGUAGCUGGUCUGAGAGGACGACCAGCCACACUGGGACUGAGACACGGCCCAGACUCCUACGGGAGGCAGCAGUGGGGAAUUUUGGACAAUGGGCGCAAGCCUGAUCCAGCCAUGCCGCGUGCAGGAUGAAGGCCUUCGGGUUGUAAACUGCUUUUGUACGGAACGAAAAGACUCUGGUUAAUACCUGGGGUCCAUGACGGUACCGUAAGAAUAAGCACCGGCUAACUACGUGCCAGCAGCCGCCGUAAAAC